GUCCCUGUGGCUCGAUGGAUAGCGCGUUGGACUUCUGAUCCAAAGGCUCUGGGUUCGAAUCCCACCUGGGAUG